UUGGACCUACGGGACGCAGCAGUGGGGAAUAUUGCACAAUGGGCGAAAGCCUGAUGCAGCAACGCCGCGUGAAGGAAGAAGGGUUUCGGCUCGUAAACUUCUAUCAACAGGGACGAAAGAAAUGACGGGACCUGAAUAAGAAGCCCCGGCUAACUACGUGCCAGCAGCCGCGGGAAUACGGAGGGGGCAAGCGUUAUCCGGAAUUACUGGGUGUAAAGGGGGAGGAGGCGGCAUGGUAAGCCAGAUGUGAAAG
rnacentral:rRNA from 1 species